AUUGAACGCUGGCGGCAUGCCUUACACAUGCAAGUCGAACGGCAGCAUGGAGAGCUUGCUCUCUGAUGGCGAGUGGCGAACGGGUGAGUAAUGCAUCGGAACGUACCGUGUAAUGGGGGAUACGGUAGCGAAAGUUACGCUAAUACCGCAUACGACCUGAGGGUGAGAGCAGGGGAGCGCAAGACCUUGCGUUAUACGAGCGGCCGAUGUCAGAUGAGCUAGUUGGUGAGGUAAAGGCUCACCAAGGCGACGAUCUGUAGCGGGUCUGAGAGGAUGAUCCGCCACACUGGGACUGAGACACGGCCCAGACUCCUACGGGAGGCAGCAGUGGGGAAUUUUGGACAAUGGGGGCAACCCUGAUCCAGCCAUGCCGCGUGAGUGAAGAAGGCCUUCGGGUUGUAAAGCUCUUUCGGCCGGGAAGAAAUCGCACAGGCUAAUACUCUGUGUGGAUGACGGUACCGGCAUAAGAAGCACCGGCUAACUACGUGCCAGCAGCCGCCGUAA
rnacentral:rRNA from 1 species